rnacentral:rRNA from 1 species
UACGGAGGGUGCUAGCGUUGUUCGGAAUCACUGGGCGUAAAGGGUGCGUAGGCGGGUCUUUAAGUCAGGGGUGAAAUCCUGGAGCUCAAUUCCAGAACUGCCUUUGAUACUGAAGAUCUUGAGUUCGGGAGAGGUGAGUGGAACUGCGAGUGUAGAGGUGAAAUUCGUAGAUAUUCGCAAGAACACCAGUGGCGAAGGCGGCUCACUGGCCCGAUACUGACGCUGAGGCACGAAAGCGUGGGGAGCAAACAGG